rnacentral:lncRNA from 1 species
AAAGGAAUGAAUGAGAAUGUGUUUUGAGGAACUUUCUUCUGUGGCAGUGAAUCACUCUGGAUUUGGGACACUGUUUUUCCCGUGCUGUGCUUCGGAAAUAAAAGCUACCCCUGGCUGCAUUGCUAAGCAUCAACGAACACUGAUGGGGAUUAACUAAAACGAGAAAGAAGAGCACAGCUGGAGAGCACCAAAAUGCCCCAGGAGAGGUUCCCCAAAGAGAGGUGAGGUGGAACUGGAGGAGGUGGAGAGCUGAGGGAAAGAAAAUGGAUUCUCUUUGCUGGACGACGAGAAGAUGGAGAGAUUGCCUCGAAAUUAAGAGGUCCUUCAGCGAUCUCAGAGAAAAACCGCAGUUUCUGGAGGGGAAAAAAAAAAGAGAGGUUAUUGAGUGCUGGCAGCAAAUCUAUUUACCGGAUCUCCUUGAGCAGCAAUAGCAAAAUAGGCGAUCUCGCACUGCAGCGGGACCCCUCCCCAUCAUAAAGGGGCGUCUUCACUUUGGGUUCACUUUCCAUAAUCCGGAUAAUGGAGGUAAACCGAAGCAGCUGCCUUUGCGGAGGGGAAAUCCGUCCCCUGAUCAGUCCUCGGGAGAGGGCGGGUUGUAAUAGCGGCGGGGCGAUGCGCACUGCGGGCACCUCCCGGAGCCAUGGGGGGGUCGGACGGCGCAGAGGGGGCUCCAGGAGCUCAGAGGGGGAACCCCAGAGCCGGAGGUGCCAUAAAGAGGGAAGAAAAACGAUCCGUUUUCCUCGGACAACUUGAAAACAGGUAACGUCGAAAGGUUACAGAGAAGGAGGGUGGAGGAAAGCUUCCCUCCUGUUCAGGGGCAGCGGUGUAAUUCGGGCAGCACAGAGAGCAAGCGGGGGAAAAAAAUGAAGAUUAGAGGUGAUGAAUUAAAAAAUAAAUAAAAUUAUUAAUCAGUGCUGGAAUUAUUUCUCCGCUUUGCGGUGUUAUCUCGGAACUGCGUUGUCAGUUUUUCUCAUGGUUUGUUUCGUUUUUGUGCUGCUGUUUGUUCGUUUUUUUCUGUACUAUUUAACUAAAGGAGGGGGAAAAAAGAAACCUUUCCUAUCCGCUGCGUUAACGGAGAGAGAAAAUACGUGUUUGUGGGUUGGAUAAUUUGCUUUCUUGGCGACGUCGGCAAAGGCAGCGAGUUGGGAGGGGGGGAAAUCCGGGUGGGAAUGGGCUCACGGCUCUCCGGGUCGG